rnacentral:tRNA from 2 species
GACCCUGUGGUGAAGUUCAUGGUGAGUUGCAAGCUCAUUGAUGUGCGUUGAGAGCGUGCCGGGGUCU